GAUAUACUCCCCCCUUCCCGAAAUACUUUUGUCAAAAUGAAUAAACAGGGAUGCAUCUAGACGUAUUUUAGUUUUAGAUACAUUUUUAAUCCAUUUUUAUGACAAGUAUUUUCGGACGGAGGGAGUAUAUU
rfam:Triticum aestivum genome assembly, contig: Triticum_aestivum_CS42_TGACv1_scaffold_211316_3AS